rnacentral:rRNA from 1 species
UACGUAGGGGGCAAGCGUUGUCCGGAUUUACUGGGCGUAAAGGGCGCGUAGGCGGCGUGACAAGUCACUUGUGAAAUCUCUGAGCUUAACUCAGAACGGCCAAGUGAAACUGUUGUGCUAGAGUGCGGAAGGGGCAAUCGGAAUUCUUGGUGUAGCGGUGAAAUGCGUAGAUAUCAAGAGGAACACCUGAGGUGAAGACGGGUUGCUGGGCCGACACUGACGCUGAUGCGCGAAAGCCAGGGGAGCAAACGGG